UAGACAUCUAAUCACCUCCCUGCCAAAUGUUUUUUCGAGCUGCUCUCCAGCCCUUAUCUCUAUGGCCUUCAUCCUCCUUGCUAUUCCAGACCCAGUGUCUGUGAAAGUGCUUGGAACCCCUUGUUUUCUAACACUCUCUACCUAAACUAUCUCUAUUUGCCCCUUGUUUCUACUUUGUGAAGCUGCUUUCCCCUUUCUUGCUGUGAGGCCCUUCUCUCUCGAACUGCAGGGUCCUGCUCUCUCUCUUCAAGAGCAGUCAGAAGAAAGACAAGUGAGAAUACAGGGAACAAAAAAAAAGCAGAGAGGAGAGCAGAGGCAGCAGAAAGAGGAGUGAGGAUACAGAGAAGAAAGAACAGGGGAAGAGGAGUGCAGAUGCAGAAUAAAGACAAGUCUGGCAACAGGAAACAAAAUCCAACAGAAGAGCAGUGCUGAUGCAGAGGGAAAAGGAGUGAGGAUGAUGCAGGGGAAUAAGAACAGGAGAAGAGUGAGAAUGCAGAGGAAAGAGCAGGGAGGAUAGAAAAGAAGGGAGAGCCUAAGAGGUGGGCAGAUGGAAAAAGAGUGAGGGAAGAAAGAAGAGCAGAAGAGUAGAGCCAAUGCAGAAGAAAGAGGAGUGAGGAAGCAGGGAAACAUACAGCAGAAGAGAAAAGCAGAUGCAGGUGAAAGAGCAGUGGUGAGAUGCAAUGGAAACCAUCAGAAGAGUGAGGAUACAAGGAGGAAAGAACAGCAGAAGAGGAGCACAGCUGCCCGAGAAUGAGCAGUGAGAAUACAGGGAAGAAAGAGGAGGAGGAGAGCAGAUGCAGAAGAAAAGAGACGUCACGUUACAGGGAAGAAAAGCAGGGCAGACGAAGUACGGAGAGGAAGCAGGGGAAAAAAACACUGAAGAGCACGGAUAGAGAUGAAAGAGCAGUGAGGAUACACAGAGGAUAGAACAGCAGAAGAGAAGAGAAAAAACAGGAAAAGAGUGAGAAUGCAGACGGAAAAGCAGGGAGAAUACAGGGAAGAACCAAGAGCCUAAGAGAAGUGCAAAUGCAAAAGCAAGCGAGGCUACAGGGAAGAAAGGACAGCAGAAGGGGAGUGCAGGUGCAGAUCCCCCAAACACAGCACUCCCUGCCCGCUAGGGUUGCGGGUGCGACGCAGUCACCACAAUGACGUCGAGGAUCAAUGCCGGGUAAUUCAGUGAGCGUUCCAACAAAGAAUCAAGGAAAAAACUGCCAGGCAAAACUAAGAAACCUUCUGGCAACAGGUCUUUAACGUUACGCGUAGAGUCCUUUGGAACAGGAGUUGUUUCUGUGUCAAGAACUUGAAGAUCAAUUCAGGCAACGGCUACUAAAGAAAAACGAGUCACAUAACAUGGAGAGCAAAGAAGAGAAGAGAGAGGAAACAGAGAGGUGCCAACACUGCCACCCGGGGUGGGCAGCAGGCUGCUGGUGCCAGCGUCAUCAUGGGCGGCGGCCAGCACUGGCCACGCUGUCACCGCGUCGCCGUGGCGACGUUUGUGACACGGCCACCCGGGAGGGGUAUGAAGGCGGUGCACGCUGGUGGGUCCUGCAUCCUGAAGGAGCAUCUGGUAGAGAGCAGACGCACCUGAAGGGAUGAGCUCCGGCAUGGCUGGCGCCAACAAGGAGCAACCCGCUGGCACGAGGCGGAACAGGAUGAGCUUCUGCGAGGAUGGCCCCGCAGCGAGGCGUGCCUCCAUACCCACCUGCACCGACACCGAAGGUACACGGCUCCACAGCCACCACAGGAGCGCUGCUGCAGCCAAUCCUGGCACGCAGACGACACUUUCCAUCUGCCACCUCACUCCCGCCUGGCAGCGGGAGGGCUGCCGGGAAGCGGCAGGUGCAGAGUGUGACCCGCUUUUCC
ensembl:lncRNA